rnacentral:rRNA from 1 species
UACGAAGGGUGCAAGCGUUACUCGGAAUUACUGGGCGUAAAGCGUGCGUAGGUGGUUUGUUAAGUCUGAUGUGAAAGCCCUGGGCUCAACCUGGGAAUUGCAUUGGAUACUGGCAGGCUAGAGUGCGGUAGAGGGUAGUGGAAUUCCCGGUGUAGCAGUGAAAUGCGUAGAGAUCGGGAGGAACACCAGUGGCGAAGGCGGUUGCCUGGAGCUUUGCUGACGCUGAGGCGCGAAAGCGUGGGGAGCGAGUCCGG